UCCCUUGUGGCUUAGUUGGUAAAGAAUCUGCCUGCAAUGCAGGAGACCUGGGUUCAAUCCCUGGGUUGGGAA
rnacentral:tRNA from 1 species